UAGAAAGAGAUAUAAAUUCUGAUGAAAUAACCGCUGUUCAAGCUAUUAAACAAAAAGUUCAAGAUAAAUAUAGAUACUGUGAGCAUCGUCGCAACGUAUUAUUAGAUCAUGUGUACGAAGGGUAUGAUAGUGAAAUUUGGGAAUAUUUUGAAGAAAAAAUUUAGAUUGCAACUCUUUUAUAUAUAUAUUUUUUCUUUUUUAAAAAAUGCAAUUCUAUGCUGCAAUAAAUGGAAUCGUUAAAUUUAGAAAUAUUUUCAUAAGGCGAUUUUUAUAUAAUAUUCCUAUAGUCUAUUUUUUUAAGAAUUUAUGGACUUUGGAGUUAUGGAGUUCAACAACUAUCUCAUUUUUUUCUCUCUCAAUCAGUUUAUGUCCAACUAGAUGAUAAUAUUUUUUGCAUUUCUUAACCACAUUCCUUGUAUUUCCAAAUGGUAUGAGAAUAUUUCUUGUAUUAUCUGCUCAAUACAAAUUUUAGUUGA
rnacentral:lncRNA from 1 species